rnacentral:rRNA from 1 species
UACGUAGGGUGCAAGCGUUGUCCGGAAUUAUUGGGCGUAAAGAGCUCGUAGGCGGUUUGUCGCGUCGGCUGUGAAAACUCGGGGCUCAACUCCGAGCUUGCAGUCGAUACGGGCAGGCUAGAGUUCGGCAGGGGAGACUGGAAUUCCUGGUGUAGCGGUGAAAUGCGCAGAUAUCAGGAGGAACACCGGUGGCGAAGGCGGGUCUCUGGGCCGAUACUGACGCUGAGGAGCGAAAGCGUGGGGAGCGAACAGG